rnacentral:tRNA from 1 species
GGUUCUAUGGUGUAAUGGUUAUCACUCUGGACUUUGAAUCCUGUGAUCUGAGUUUAAGUCUCUAUAGAACCA